rnacentral:rRNA from 1 species
CCAAGGAGUCUAAUUAGGCAUCGAGUCGAUCGGUCUUGAAUAGGCCAGAGUGGGUAGUUUCGACUAUCGAUUGAAGGGUAAAGAAAUCAAUCAUGUGAUCAUUGGGGCAACAACAGCCUCGAUGCGCAACAUGUGCCUGCUCGUAUAGCAAUGUUAGCAAUAACUUGCUGGGCGGAGCAAAGAGAUGCUUGAUUGGUACCGAAAGAUAGUGAACUAUGCCUGGGCAAAUUGAAGCAGAGGAAACUCUGGUGGAGGAUUGUAGCGAUUCUGAGUGCAAAUCGAUCGUCAGACCUGGGUAUAGGGGCGAAAGACUAAUCGAACCAUC